AUUGAACGCUGGCGGCGUGCUUUACACAUGCAAGUCGAACGGCAACACGAGCUUCUUCCUGGCCUCGCGUUGCGGACGGGUGAGUAAUUCAUCCGAACGUGCCCAACCUUUGGGACUAGGCCGGCUACGGCCGGCUUAAUACCACAUACGACCAGAUGGUGAAAGCGAGGGACCGAAAGGCCACGCGCGAUUUGCUGGGCCGAUGACGCAUUAGCUAGUUGGUUGGGUAACGGCUUACCAAGGCGACGAUGCGUAGCAGAUCUGAGAGGACGACCAGCCACACUGGGACUGAGACACGGCCCAGACUCCUACGGGAGGCAGCAGUGGGGAAUUUUGGACAAUGGGGGCAACCUUGACCCAGCAACGCCGCGUGAGGGAAGAAGGCCUUCGGGUUGUAAAACGCUUUUGUUCGGGAAGAAAUACUGUGGGCUUAUCCACGGGGGGGAUGACGGUACCGGAAGAAAAAGCACCGGCUAACUACGUG
rnacentral:rRNA from 1 species